GACGAACGCUGGCGGCGUGCUUAACACAUGCAAGUCGAACGGAAAGGCCCCCUUGUGGGGUACUCGAGUGGCGAACGGGUGAGUAACACGUGAGUAACCUACCCUUGACUUUGGGAUAACUUCAGGAAACUGGGGCUAAUACCGGAUAGGAGCUCCUGCUGCAUGGUGGGGGUUGGAAAGUUUCGGCGGUUGGGGAUGGACUCGCGGCUUAUCAGCUUGUUGGUGGGGUAGUGGCUCACCAAGGCUUUGACGGGUAGCCGGCCUGAGAGGGUGACCGGCCACAUUGGGACUGAGAUACGGCCCAGACUCCUACGGGAGGCAGCAGUGGGGAAUAUUGCACAAUGGGCGGAAGCCUGAUGCAGCAACGCCGCGUGCGGGAUGACGGCCUUCGGGUUGUAAACCGCUUUCGCCUGUGACGAAGCGUGAGUGACGGUAAUGGGUAAAGAGGCACCGGCUAACUACGUG
rnacentral:rRNA from 1 species